GACGAACGCUGGCGGCGUGCUUAACACAUGCAAGUCGAGCGGUAAGGCCCUUUCGGGGGUACACGAGCGGCGAACGGGUGAGUAACACGUGGGUGACCUGCCCUCAGCUCUGGGAUAAGCCCGGGAAACUGGGUCUAAUACCGGAUAUGACUCCAUGACGCAUGUUGUGGGGUGGAAAGCCUUGUGCGGCUGGGGAUGGGCCCGCGGCCUAUCAGCUUGUUGGUGGGGUGAUGGCCUACCAAGGCGACGACGGGUAGCCGGCCUGAGAGGGCGACCGGCCACACUGGGACUGAGAUACGGCCCAGACUCCUACGGGAGGCAGCAGUGGGGAAUCUUGCGCAAUGGGCGAAAGCCUGACGCAGCGACGCCGCGUGAGGGAUGACGGCCUCGGUUGUAAC
rnacentral:rRNA from 1 species